rnacentral:rRNA from 1 species
CGAAUCUUCCGCAAUGCGCGAAAGCGUGACGGGGUAAUGCCGCGUGCAGGAUGAAGCCCUUCGGGGUGUAAACUGCUGUCAGGGGCUAGGAAUUUCAUGACCAGCCCCAAAGGAAGAGCCGGCUAACUCUGUGCCAGCAGCCGCGGUAAUACAGAGGGCUCGAGCGUUAAUCGGAAUCACUGGGCUUAAAGCGUGCGUAGGCGGAUCUUCAGGCUUGUUGUGAAAUCCCACGGCUCAACCGUGGAAUUGCGAUGAGAACCGGAGAUCUUGAGUCAGGUAGAGGCGGGUGGAACGAUAGGUGGAGCGGUGAAAUGCGUAGAUAUCUAUCGGAACGCCAAAGGAGAAGUCAGCCCGCUGGGCCUGUUCUGACGCUGAGGCACGAAAGCGUGGGUAGCAAACGGGAUUAGAUACCCCGGUAGUCCACGCCGUAAACGAUGCGCACUAGACUGAGGGAGCUUGACGCUUUCUCAGUCGUAGCAAAAGUGCUAAGUGCGCCGCCUGGGGAGUACGGUCGCAAGAUUAAAACUCAAAGGAAUUGACGG